AGUGAACGCUGGCGGCGUGCCUAAUACAUGCAAGUCGAACGGAGUGGCGCACGGUUGAGUAAUAUAUAGCUAAUCUGCACCUUGCUGGAGGACAAGAGUUAGAAAUGCAAGCUAAUACUCCAUAGAAAGGGAUGAGACUAUAUCGUAUCAGCUGGUCGGUGGGGUAACGGCCUACCGAGGCAAUGACGCGUCACUGGUCGGAGAGGAUGCGCAGUCACAUUUACCCUAAACCACAAUCCCAACUCCUACUGCACUCAUCAGAAGGGAAGAUGACGCAAUGGGGGAAGCCCUGACACAUCAACGCCUCUUAGCGGAUGACACUUUUCGGAGCGUAACCUCCUUUUGUUAGGGAAGCGGUACCUAACGAAUAAGCACCGGCUAACUCCGUGCCAGCAGCCGCGGUAAUAC
rnacentral:rRNA from 1 species